GUAACCUGCCCUUAACUCUGGGAUAAGNNUGGNNAAACAURGGUCUAAUACCGGAUAGGAGCGCCCACCGCAUGGUGGGUGUUGGAAAGAUUUAUCGGUUUUGGAUGGACUCGCGGCCUAUCAGCUUGUUGGUGAGGUAAUGGCUCACCAAGGCGACGACGGGUAGCCGGCCUGAGAGGGUGACCGGCCACACUGGGACUGAGACACGGCCCAGACUCCUACGGGAGGCAGCAGUGGGGAAUAUUGCACAAUGGGCGAAAGCCUGAUGCAGCGACGCCGCGUGAGGGAUGACGGCCUUCGGGUUGUAAACCUCUUUCAGUAGGGAAGAAGCGAAAGUGACGGUACCUGCAGAAGAAGCACCGGCUAACUACGUGCCAGCAGCCGCGGUUAAUACGUAGGGUGCGAGCGUUAUCCGGAAUUAUUGGGCGUAAAAGAGCUCGUAGGCGGUUUGUCGCGUCUGUCGUGGAAAGUCCGGGGGCUUAACCCCGGAUCUGCGGUGGGUACG
rnacentral:rRNA from 1 species